rnacentral:lncRNA from 1 species
AUUUAACCAGUUUUAGAAGUUCACAGAAUAUAAAGCAGUUCAGAAGGAAGCAAAGCAAGGUAAGGUUAUAACGGGUUGAAUUUAAUGCUUUAAAAAAAAAGCAAUCGCUAUGGAAGAGAUUCUGGGUUUCAUAUACAAACCUUUGUGUUCUACUUUGCUUACUGAAAUGCUUAUUUUGGGAGGGACGGUGUGUUUGUUUUGUUCAGGUUAAAUAGCUUCAACACAGAAGGUAGCGUUAAUCGGAUCACAGUGGACAAGGACCGAGGCAAACAGCGCGCAGAACCAAAGAAAGAAGAGGUUGGACCUCACUUCCACUUAGCGCAGCCUCAGUAGCAACAGAGGCUAACCCUUACCGCCGCCCGCCCGGGGCAUCACGGGAAGAAGGAUCGGCUUUGGAUCUGGGAUGUGACGCAAGUACCACGUGACAACUUAUGCCAAUGGUUCUCUGCUGCCCGGGAAAGUGCAAAUUGGGGCACUGCGGAGGAGCCGGGGACACAAAGAUAGAAGAGCUCUUGAAAAGGGCUGGUCGCCCAGACUUGGUGUGGCUUAAGCUCUGUGUUUGAACUUUUGUGUAACACCCUUGGCAAAAAGCAGGAGGUCUUAGGGUGGAGUGUAAGAACCCUCGGACGUCAUAAAAUCUACCUCUGCCCCCCUCAAUUUUGUAGAAACCCUGGGAGGCCAACUGGGAAGUAAGUAGCAGAGUAGGAUUUGCGCCCCUGCUCUCUGAUCAGUUUUCAGUGUGCUACACUACCCAAAUCAGGUCUCUGACUGCUUUUGUGCAUACUAGUUGCUUAACCUUCCAUUGUCACUUGUUAUCACUUCAUGAGAUAGGGGCAUGGUAGAGUAGUGAUGUUGAAAGAAUGCUACAUUUGGAUUGGGAGAUCUGCUUUCCCAUUCUGGCUCUGCUAUUGUUUGACUUUGGGCAAUUUGCCAUCUGUAAAGUGGAGGUCGUUUCUGUAGCCUGUCCCAUAGAGUUGUUGUGACGAAAGCUUUUGUAAACCCUGCAUGCAAAAACCUUAAUGCAAUUGUAAAUGUUAACUAUCAUCUCUCUCCUUUGGGAGGCAACUAACCCCAAACCGCAAAAAAAUUAACUGAUAUAGAUUAUUAUUUACAAAAAUGUCAUAGCUGUUUACCUUCAUCAGUGUGCACAGAAAUAUUCAGAAGUCUGGGAUUUUUUCAUGGCGUUUUAAUA